rnacentral:lncRNA from 1 species
CUCCAUAUCCUUGUGUUGAAAAUUGUGUCUCUGCAGGUAUUAGUUUAGCCAUUCAGCUUGUCCAUGUGCCAAAUGUAGAAGGUAUGUUUUUUUUCUGAGAACGCACCAAUGCGGUUAUGUAAUUCACUUGCAGGAGAGCUGGCUGAACUCCCUACCAACUCAGGACAAUUCCAGUGAAGAACAAUGGAAUUAUGUAAACACGGAUGUCUGUAACUGAGGUCAGUCCUAUCAAUACCUAACACUAGAAUUGCCUCCAAAAGAAGCCACUUCUUUAUCCACUCGUUCUGCUACUCUGCUCCUUGUAUUCACUUCUGUUGUGCUGACUUGGGAAUGGGUUGGAUUGUCUAGUGAACAGAGCUGGGGAAACUGCUCAGAGGUGCCCAGUGAACCUUCAACAGAAGAAAAUGUUUAAAGCCCUGAUC